CCUACGGGCGGCUGCAGUGGGGAAUCUUGCACAAUGGGGGAAACCCUGAUGCAGCGACGCCGCGUGAGCGAUGAAGCCCUUCGGGGUGUAAAGCUCUUUCGGCAGGAACGAUAAUGACGGUACCUGCAGAAGAAGCUGCGGCUAACUACGUGCCAGCAGCCGCGGUAAUACGUAGGCAGCAAGCGUUGUUCGGAAUUACUGGGCGUAAAGAGUGUGUAGGUGGUGUCGUAAGUUUGGUGUGAAAUCUCCCGGCUUAACUGGGAGGGUGCGCCGAAGACUGCGAUGCUUGAGUAUGGGAGAGGAAAGCGGAAUUCCUGGUGUAGCGGUGAAAUGCGUAGAUAUCAGGAGGAACACCUGCGGUGUAGACGGCUUUCUGGACCAUUACUGACACUGAGGCACGAAAGCGUGGGUAGCAAACAGGAUUAGAUACCCCGGUAGUC
rnacentral:rRNA from 1 species